AAUUUAAGGAAAUGACAAAAUUGCCCUUAAAAAUUUCUAGCCAAAGGACCAUUUUGCCCUUUUGUGCAUUAAAGAGGCUAAGGUGUAGGUUUUGACAUUUAGGUUGAGUUGUUAACCAACUCUUACUAACCCUAACCACUUCACAUUGACAGCAAUCAGCCAUUAUACCAGCCAUUCAUGCAUCAAGUUGCCUAUAUAUAGGUUAGAGAGAGAAAAUGUUGCAUUGUUGCUCAAAUUAUUUACCAAGUUCCUCCUAGACCUUCUCUUUCUAAAAGCCACGAAAUUUGUUGCUAAUAUCAGUCACAAAUAUAGCCCCACGUUCACCUUUAACAAAUCAGAAACACAAGAUCAAAAAUUUGUUCAUCAAAGGUACAAACCACAACCAUAAAAUUUUUUUUAAUGAUAUGUUGUUAGAUCUUGUAAUUCGUUGUUAAAAGCUGUUGUUUAUAGUCUAAUUUAACGAUCUGGGUUGGUAUAUUACAAGUCCAUAACAUCUAAAUUCUUAAAUCAAUGAUUUUCAAAUUUCUGGAAAAUAAAAUUUUGUGAUCUGACAUCAAAUGUCAGAGUCUAUAGAUCGUUGUGUGUUUAUUAUUUUUGUUGUUUAAGUGUUUACAUUUGUAGCCUUGUAUGAGGUCUUUAUUCUGCAAGUGGUAGUACAAGCAUCAGAUACCAAGAUCACGAGUUAUAAUCGGUCAAACACUGUUGACCGACGUUGACUGGGUUAAAAUCUGGGCAGCCCAGAACCUUUGAAACAGAGUCUGACAAGAUUUCUAAGUCGCUUGAUCUGUCAUGAUAUUGGUGUUAUGAUGUAUUUGUUGUAAUGAAUCUGUAGCCUAUAAGAUGAAGUCUAGAUCCAUGCUUUUAGAACAUUAAAAUAAUUCACAGAUCGAUUAGAGCAGUUGGUCAAAAUGACCCAUUUGGUCACGAUUUGCAAUUUCUGGGGAUUUCCAGAAAAGUUUGAACAAGCUGUCUGACAGAGUUUGACCGUGUGUUUUAUAUUGAUUCUGUUGAUGAUAAUCUAAGUUUUUGUUUUAUUAAUGUACCUUGACACUAGGACUACAAUUAUGAAUCAUCAAACCACCUGAAUCAAGACUAGAACAUAGAUUAAUUUGAGCUUAAAUGUAGCAACUCGAAACUGUCUGGGCCCAGAAAAAUCCAGAAUGGGUCUGACAGCUUCAUUGAAGCUCUGGAUCUUGCAAGAUUGUUGUUGUUUUAUUGAUGUAAUACUUGAUAAUUGUAGUACUGCAUAUGCACUACAUGAUUGA
rnacentral:lncRNA from 1 species